rnacentral:lncRNA from 1 species
AGGAAUAUAAGCAUUCAAUCAGUCAGCAUAACAGUAAAUCCAAGGAAGUUUGAAUAAAUAAACAACAUCAGGAGAAUUCAGAGAGCAUCAAACAAAAGAUCAGUUGUUUGUUUGUUUGUUUCUUCCAUUGAACUUCACACCUUUGUAAACUGUAAUAUGACAAACCAGACGACCACUUGCAUUGAAAAUUGGAGAAAUAUACGCAGAGGAACUACUUUAAACUCCCAGCAACUCUCAAUUUUGAACUUGGUUUUAAAAACCAAUCUAUUAAAAAAAGCGUGCCGGUCAUAGUAGCGGAAAUGCUUGGUAACGUGAGGUUCAAUAGGAAGGUUCAACCAUUAGUGCCAACUGCCAACUGCCAACUAAUCUAAUGACGAUACUCAAAACUGCCAAAAACUCGACUCCCACCAACUCCAACCUCAAUCCAACCCCAUUCAUGACCAUAAUUGUUCAAUAAUCCCAUAAAAUCAAUGAGUCCAAAGCUCCAAAAAUUGACCCCUCGACGAAGAACACGUGAGAUAUGAUCGACCUGCAACAAAUAACCUGAUUAAACUUAAUCCAUUAUCAGUCAAAUCCACACGGUACGGAAGUACUUCCACCAUAUCAUACGAUCACGUAUCACAAAACUAUCCAGCCGGCCGAACCAGCCACACUCCAUAAUGGGCUCUUCACCCUAGCUAGCUAGCUCUCUAUUCAAUAAGGAAAAGCCAAAAGGGGCCUUAGAUCACGGGGCUAUAAAGAAAGUUAGGAAGGGUACUGGACAGUACAAAAACUGUAUUUGACCGUUUAUGGUUGUUUGGUAGUUAAUAAUAUUCCACUGUGUGCCUUGUGAUUCUCUCUUUUCUUUUCUUUUCUUUGAAUGUGUGGCUGCUGUGUGUCAGUCUUGCCUCUGUAAUUCAAAGACUAGUUACCUUUAAAGGCUCAUUCCCAUGUGCCUUCUUACUGCUACCUUCAUCAUUUUGUUUUUACCCUUUUUCAUCUUUUUACUUGAUAAUAAAGUUUUUUAACCACUAGGAAUCACCACACCCCCACCACCUUAUCUUUUAACCUCCCUCAGUUAUACCUUGUAGGUGUGAGCAUUGAGUAGUUGGUAUAUGGCCAAAUUCUUGCUUUGAUACUUGAAUUCAGAGCAUUGGGUAACUCUUACUACCCGGUCGGAUAAUACGGGUGUCCAUAAGAUGUUUUGGCCAAUGCCGACGACUUCAGCAGCGAGGUAAUGUAAAUCGAUGAUCAAGAGCAGGUAAUGGUGUCUAAACCAGUAGGAACUGGGAAUUUCUCCACUGUUCUAGCCGCAUCCCCAUAUCUGCACACACACGUUAAGACCCUAACUUUUUUGAUGCGAACCCAAGAGGCUAACUAGGAAAUUCACGGCCAUUCAAAGAAACUUAUGUUCGAUAACAUUGUUCCAUAAUCAUAAAUGAAAAAGAGAGUGAAAGAUCUACAAAUAUUCAGAACACCGUAAAGGAUAGAAAUGAGGAUGAAUUUUGAAAAAUAGCGAUGGCCCCCUUCUCCAAAUUCUCCCCCAUUGCCAUAAUGCUAUGUCUUUAACCUCCUACGAUUCCACCAAAGGGUGUGAAAUCCUUAGUAAGAGCACUUCCUAGUACCUUCAAAAGGACAAGAAACCAUCCUUAGCUGUCUUUAUCACUCCUUUGUCUCUCCACCAAUAUUCUCCAAUCUUUCUCCUAAUUUCAGAGGUUAUCCAUAUAUAACAUUCGACCUAAUCUUCUAUUUGUGGCAACUGGCAACUACGACCACUGUCAGCCAUUAGUCCAUCCCUCCAUGAGGUCACUCUUCACCUCUAUUUUGCUUGGCUGUACUGACAACUGGAAUGCCGGCUAACUAACUAUACACACACCCCAUCAGGUCCUGUUAUGUACCGAUCCCGAAUUGUAAGUUUCGGAAUCGGUAGAGACUGUUUAUGCAGCAAAGACAGAGAAAGUCUCAACAAUGGAGAAGAAGAACAAAGGGCAUGGGAUGUUAAAACAAGCAGCAAGAAACACCAUAUGAUAUGUCAGCUAUCUGCAGAAGGCCCCAUGUGGUCCAACGCCACAAACGACGACCAACAACAUUCCCCUAAAGAGAGAGAGAGAGAGAGAGAGAGCUAAUAAAAAUCUAAACUUAAUAUGUCCACCACUUGUAUCAUUUUCCAUGCCUGGCUCCAUUUCAGAAGCUGAAGCUAUAACCAUGUUCUGAGGCUGAGAAAAAAGGUGGUCACCAUGCAAGAAAAAAAAAAGCUGAAAGAUUUGUUUGCUUGAUUUGUUCCUUUCAUCUUUUCUUUUUGUAUUUCAGCAUCUCUCCUUCAAGAAAGGCUGGCAGUUGGCAAACCAACUGAAACAGUGGUGUUUCGGUUGCUUAAUAUGGUUUCGGUAACUAAACCAAACCAUAACAAAUGUCCGAACCCUGAACCGGAAUGGUACCCCCUUUAUCAAUCAAGUGCCUGGUGUGCCCACCAAUUAUUCAUACUAUAAAUGUACAACCACCACCUCAUUUUGCUGAUAUAUUGGAAUGACAUUCAACUCAAAUGCAGAAUGCUUAAUCAUGUUUGUUCCCAAGUAGACUUAUCUAAACUUCACUAGCAAAAAGGCAAACAUUAAAAAUGUCACAUUUCCCAAUCAUCUAUAUGCAGCAAGGACAAUAAGCAUAGCCUAAAUGCUUUCGGCACAAUUCUGCAGAUAAUAAUACGCAAGUGGGUUUACGGAAGCAAAAUAGUACUACCGGGACAACGAUUCUAUAUCACGCUUACAGCUAACGAAGAGUACGAUCAAUUACCUCGGCAUUGUCGUGGAGAGAGGCUCUUCCAUUCCCACUAUGUGAAUAAGAUUGAUUGCAGGAAGAGAAUUGAAUGCAGGGAGGGGAAUAGAAAGGCCCACCAAUCUUUGCAGAAAACAACUGAGGUACUACUGCUGAGCCACAAGAGGAGCCUUAGGUAUGUAUUUUUUUCAUUAUAAGUUUGAAAGAGACCCUUGCCUGUUGGUCCAGCACAUGAAGGCCAUGUUACCUUUGCCUCUCCAGAAUCUCCCCCCCCC